UCAUAUCUUGGAUAAGAAUCAUGGCGCACUCUUUCAUACUUUAUCAUCUUCGCCUUUAAUGCCAUAUUCUUUACCUUGGAUAAAGUUCUUAACAAUUAUACACCAAUUCGAUCCUUGAUUGCGGGUCUUAAUCCUUCCAAAUACCUUGCAACUUGAUGCCCUUCGAAUUCUUGGAGAUUAUUCCUUUCGGCUAAUCUCAUGAACUCG
rnacentral:misc_RNA from 1 species